GACGAACGCUGGCGGCAUGCCUAAUACAUGCAAGUCGAGCGAACAGAUGAAGUGCUUGCACUUCUGACGUUAGCGGCGAACGGGUGAGUAACACGUAAGGAAUCUACCUAUAAGCGGGGGAUAACAUUCGGAAACGGGUGCUAAUACCGCAUAAUAUCUUCUUCCGCAUGGAAGAAGAUUGAAAGACGGCUCUGCUGUCACUUAUAGAUGACCUUGCGGUGCAUUAGUUAGUUGGUGGGGUAACGGCCGACCAAGACGAUGAUGCAUAGCCGACCUGGGAGGGUGAUCGGCCACAUUGGGACUGGGACACGGCCCAAACUCCUACGGGAGGCAGCAGUAGGGAAUCUUCCGGAGUGGGCGAAGGCCUGACGGAGCAAUGCCGCGUGAGUGAAGAAGGCCUUCGGGUCGUAAAACUCUGUUAUAAGAGAAGAACAAAUUGUAGAGUAACUGCUACAGUCUUGACGGUAUCUUAUCAGAAAGCCACGGCUAACUACGUGCCAGCCGCCGCAGUAA
rnacentral:rRNA from 1 species